CCUGUCUUCACCCCUUGUGAAACCUACUCUGCUGCAAAGAGUGCUGUUGCUUGGAGGGGCUCAGCCCAGGCACAGAAACCUGAAAUUUCAAAAAUGCGAUAAAGCCCUAACCCGGCAGCUCUGGGAGGCGAGCAGCUGCCGGGUGACCGCUGAUGGAGUGGCUUCUUAAGGAGGUGGGCAGAUUGAUUCCAGCUGCCGAGCGCGGGGCAGGGCAGCGGCCGCGGAAUGCACAGCCCGGCUGAGGCAGACAGCAGCAGCUUCCCAAGCAAGGGCAAGGCCAAAUAUUAGCUGUUUGCAAUCUUAGCCAGAGAGAAGGAAGAGAGUGCCAUUGUUCCGUCCACCGAGGACUGUCAAGGAGGCCUGGGCUAAAUGGUACUGUUGAGACGGUGUCACUUUCAUAUAGCAUGCCAGGACUUGGGGGACCAACCAAGAAAUCAAGGAUCCAGCCUUCCUGGUAAGCAACGCAAGCUGCACAUGCUCCAGGAAAAGAAAAGCCAGCAUCUUCCAAGAAUUUGCCAUGCCAGGUCUUGGGGAACCAACCAAGAAAUCAGCAAUCCAGCUUUCCUGAAUUGUGAAAUACUUAAAGAAAGGAAAGAGUGGAAAUCCAGGCCAUUAUCAUCACACCCUUGAAAUAGAAGAUUUCAAGAUUUCUGCUCUCUCUUUUUCUAUUUCUAGCAUGACAUACGGGGCUUUUUCUGCCACACACUCCCACUAUGAUUAAAUGCCUCACCACAGGCUCAAAAGCAAUAAUGCCAACCAGCUGUGGACUAAAAAGCCCAACCAUGUGAGCCAAAAUAAACCUUUUUCUCUAUAUACACCAAAAUAUCUCAGGUACUUGUUGCAGUAAUCAAAAGCUGAUUACCACAGAUACUUGUAACCAUGAAACUGUUACUGCAAUCUAGGUACCAAAUUGUGAAAAUUUAGAAAAUUAUUAAAUUUCCAUGGUUUCAAAAUAUAUGAAUAUCUCAAUGUAAGCUUUGCUCAUUAACAGUGUUCAGACACAGCAAAAAAGUCACCAUUUCCUUUGCCCUUCUCUUACAUUUAUUCAGUAUCUACAUGACAAAUGCGUCACCCUAAAAUAUACCCUCUAGACCGUUAAACUUAAUAUUCACUACUUUUCACUAAUUCCUUAGGCUUUUGGCUAGCACCUCUAAAGAAAUAAAAUAAAUGGGAAACUGACAUUUCAAUAGGUUUUACAAGUGAUCUAAUUUAAUUUCCUUCACACAUGGAAAUAUCCUUUCUAAAACACCUUUAGAGAUCACUGCAUGUAUCAAUGGCUAGCUUAGUUAAAUAAUUCAUUCAUAUAAAUCAGGAUUUAAUCAACCUCAGCACUAUUGAUAUUUUGAGACAGGUAAUUCUUGGUGGGGCGAGUGCUACAGGAUGCUUAGUAAUAUUUCUGGCCCCUUCCCACUAGAUGCCAAAUAUCACCCUCUCAUCUUGAAUUAUUAAACUAAAAAUAUCUCCAGACAUUGUCAAAUAGAAAUUGCCAUUACAUAUAUGAUGCAUGCUAAGUUGAGACCCACUUAUAUAAAUUGAUGGUGAAAGUUAAUCAUUAAAAUUAAUUCAUAUGUGGAACAUUUCAAAUAAUCUUCAUCUGAGCUUUUAACCUGAAUCUGUAUCUGCUUUUAGCAAACCAAGGAAUAGCAGAGAGGUAGCUUCUGUCAUAUUAUAAUACUAAGAGAUUGACUGUUAAGAGAGAGAGUUAUAAGCUAAAUACAGCACUGGAAAGAAAAACCCAUUGCAUUCUUAGCCAGAGCUUCCUGUUCCCUGUGUCUCUGACAUUCUCAUCUAGCAAUUUCAAAAAAGUUAUACUGAUAACUCCAGAUUUUAUAUGAUGCCCUCUUCAUGUUUGGAUUUCAAGUUAAUUGUCAAAGAAUGGAACAAUGAAAGAAUUAAUGAGCCAUUUUCACUGAGCUUUGAUAUAAAAGUUAACAUACAAUGACUAGAUAUAGACUCUAUCCAAGAAAAUAAAAGAGUAUUAGCAAUUACAGUAUUAACCCACUCUUUAUUUCCUUAAAAUAUCCUUUAAAGGUGCUUUCCAAUUUUUCCCCCCUAUGUAAUUAAUGAAAAAGUGAUGUAUAUGCAAUGUGCAGAAUUUUCCUCCUUAAACAUUUACUUUAAAUCCCAAUAAAUAAUAAAUGACAUCCUUUAAGAUUUGAUAAAGACCUCUUUUCAUAAUCAUUGAAACAAUAAAAGGUUAGCCAAUAAUUUAAUGUUUUGGUAAGUAGUUAGAGAUGUAGUGAUAUAAUUUGCUAGGAUGGU
rnacentral:lncRNA from 1 species